GAUAUAACUAACAUUCUGUAACUAAUAAACUACAAUGAGAAGUGAAGAACAGGCGACUACAAAGAGAAAUUGGAAUCCACAUUUAUUGAUGAGAUAUAUAUGUACACGGGAGUUAAAACACUCGAUGAAAGAUUGAAUUCACAGGUUAUUUCCAUCAUAUGAAGAAUAUCCAGUUAUUUUACACAUGAAAUGUUACAGUCACAAGAAAAGCUAAAUACAAACAUAGGAGAUCUCAACUACCCAAGGUGUGCUUUGCCAACAAGGCAUUUCCUAGUACCAUAUAUAAGAAACAGCCCCCAAAUUAGUCUCUUUGCAUUCAUUAGUCUUUAAAUACCAUGUGCUAUAGAUGUACUAUGCUACAUGACAUCAGACCAAUGGGGACUGGGAAUGGGAGAGAAACCAUUAGUCUUAUCUUUCAUUCAAAAAUAAUCCUGCCUAAAGUCUCCUUUCCUUUCUGUACUUUGUUUUCAUUCAUAAUUUGAAGGAUACAGCCACCACAUCCCCUCACUCCACACAUCUGGAGAAGCCCCUGAAAAUGAGUGUGCUUGCUUCACAUCUCCAUGAUCUGUGAGAAAAGGGAGGGGUACUCUCCAGCACAAUGUUGUUUCUUCUUUGUGGGGAAGAAAGGGCUUAUAGGAACUACAAAGCUCCCAGUAUGGUAAUUAGUGAGAAUGUGGUUUGGGAGAUCACAUCUAAUUGCCAUUGUUAAUCUCAUUCACGCAAACAGAGCAUUACUGGGUAGAGGAGACCAGCCUCCUGUCACAUACUCAGGAUCAGUGCAUCAGAGGUUGGUCCUCCUCCGGUGCCAAGGUUGGCCGUUGGCCUUUGCUGGUCCUUGACCAUUGCUGGCCCCUGGCUGUUGCUGGCUCCAGGUCUCGGUGUGCUUCUAGUACUCUGUCAUUCUCUCACAAGUGUGCAAUUUGCUGCCAGACUGUGCUUUCAGGAGGGGGUGUCUCACCUGCAUGGUUGCUAAUCAGUAAAUGCAUUCUUGUACUCUAACUCAGAAAGUUAAGGGUAGCAAAGUUCUUUAUAAUCUUAGGCCAUGGUCAUCAUGGUGAAGAUAUGACAACCUGAGAAGUUGACACUUCCCCAAAGACAUGAUUUGAGUAUGAGGAGGAAAUGGACAUUUUUUAAGCCCAGUCCACUGUGAGGGAGGAGAGAUGAGCAUCUUCAUUCUGAACCUCCCUCAGACUUGGUAACCACAAGUUCCACACGUACAUUGAAUAGGAAUGAUGCAGGCAUAAGAUGACACUUCACUGAGUAACAGGAAACACAUUCAACCCCAUCCCAGCUCAGGGCUGUAUUUACAAAGGUGCUAGACUAGAGAUUUGCAAACAGUCAUCAGUACAGAGGUUUCAUAGGUAAGCUCUUCACUCAGAUCACAUUGAGAAAUAACUCUUAGUUGAUACCUAAGACUGCAAAGAAAGGUUUCCAAAUGGUCAUGGUCAUAUCUAUUGCAUUUAGAUAAACAGCCAAGAAAAACAGUUAAAUUAAAUUACAUCAAUACACUGCUUCACUGAAAUUACACACAAAUACCUACAUUAUAGCUACACAAAGUGCAUAGGCACUGUCUUCAUGCGUGAACCAAGUAUCAACGUAUACACACAAGAAAGUCAUGCUCUGAUAGCUAGCUGUGAAAACAGAUACAAUCUUAGCCAGUUGAUGGCACAUCUAAUCUGUUCGCUUAAUGAGGAGCAGGCUUGAAUACAUCCUAAUAUGUCAUCUAUAUAACAGGCUAUUUAUUCUUUCAAGCACAGUAAAAUACCAGUCUCCCCACCAUUGCAGAGAGUGUGUUUGGUGGAGAAAAGACACCUUGUGUUUUCCGUGACUACUGGUUUACUUUGUGGGAAGGUCACAUCAGUCUGUUGCCUACCUGAGGAUAAACUAUUGGGGUUUAAUUCUAAAUAAUCCCAGUAUGAUUCUAACUCCCAGCUCCAGCGCCCCAGUGAUACAGCAUGGAUUCUGAAUGGGUACUAAAAAUAUGUUGUCUUUAAUUUCUUCUUAAAAAUAUAUGUUCAAUUCAUAUAACAAUGUGAGGUUUUGCUAUCAUUUUUUCUUGGCAAGACAUAACUGCACCAAAACUGACCUGAAUUCUUUCCUUACCAGCCAUCCUCAGCUGUUGCUACUCUACAUUUUAUUAGGCCAAUUUUCACAUAAACAUCUAGUAAUGCAUGGAGAUUCUGAUAGAGAAGCAGUCCUGCUAUUAGCACCAGCCUUUAUUCAUUUUAUGAGACAGAAAAAUUAGGAAGGUCAGUUGGGAAAACAAGGACUGGUGUUGGAAAAAAGCAGUCAGCACCAUUCCUUGAUGUUGAAGGAUUAACUGUUCAGAUGCAUAUACCCUAACUACCUAAGGGGCUUAAGCAAUUCCUUGUUCUGAGUUUGGUCGAAUUGCAUCAUUAAGGACUGAGUUCCAAAAUUUCUCAAAUGUGUCUGUAUGCUCAGAAAACAGUUGAUACCCCAAAUUGCUAUAGAAACAUGUGCUCUAAUUAGCUAUACUUCUAUCUAUGUGGUUGUAUAGAAAAUAUCAUAAGAAAAUAUCUGUCUGAAAAAAUUGCAGAUACCAAAGAGACUAUAUCAGCCUACUCUGAGUCUUUAUGAUUUUUGAAGAAUAGAUAUAAAUGUGUAACAUUAUUAAAAGUUAAAUUAACAUUAAACUUGUGAUAUCCAGGACUAUAAAUAUUUCUCUGUAUAAAUAAUAACAAAGAAAUUUGGGGAUUUGUGGAAGAAAGAAUGUAAGAUUGGGCCAAAGUAACUUUGUAGACUGGAGAUGCAAUACUGAUCAGAGGGCGAUAUGCCGUCCCUAGUAACACAGAUUCAGACUGGGAAGCCAAAAUAUAUCUGCUGGCAUCAAGAUAAAAUUAGAUUCACAGUUUGCCAGCUCUCUCCUCAAUCUGUAGAAAACAAAUAGAAAAAGAAUAUACAAAAAAUUCUCCAAAAAGUAGGUUUGUUUUAAUAUAUACAAAUCUCUAUAGUGACCAGCUGAUCUGGUCUGUGUUGUGUUGUGCAAGGUGGGGAUGGGAUGCUGAGAUUUUAGGGAGGAGGGAAGAAAGAGGAAAGAGUUGAGGUGGAGUUGGUUUGUAGAAGAAUCUGGAUACCGAAGGCAAUUAUAACAGGAAAGUGACUUUGUGGGUACUAAGACACCCAGGAGCUGAGUUUCUAGUUGUGUGUGUUAGGGAAUUUGAUGUAGCAUGGAGAAAAAUUAGUGAUCGGUUUGACCACUUCCUUGGUCUAUGAGUGUCUCUGUCCCCUACCUAAGGCAGCAGGCCACUUCCAGGCAGGCUAAAUGGUUGCCAUGGGGAGAAACAGAGCCAAGAAGUAGCAAGUCUCUGUCUGACUGCAUCAUCCCCAUGUCCCAGAGGAUGGUGAUAAGGAUAACAAUCAGUUGUUAGGUUCCAAAGCUCACCCAGGGAUUGGGGGUGUCUCUAGAGGAACCCAGAUAUUCUGCCACCCGUUGUCUGGGUCACCUGAUGCCUCUGCAGAGCACAGGUCUGUCCCAAUAGUAGAUUUUAUUCUCAGCCUAAAAGUUCCUCAAAAUACAAUCAGAAAGACUUAAAAAUACCAAAAUGGAUAAAUGGAUCACAGGAUAAAACAAGACUCAGCAGAGGAAAAAAAAUGAUGAGAAAUGAAUGAUUCAGAGUGUUAGUGUGAGCCUAAUGCCCCAGGACCUUCUGGACUUCUCCUGCUUUUUUGCAGUGACCUUAAGUGGAUCAGUUAAGAAACAUCUUUCUGCUCUCCCUUUAGAUCUUCUGUCACCUUGAAAGGAGAGAAAAACCCAACCAUCAUCACCAUCAACAAAAAUUAACCCUUUCUGACCUGGCUGUCUGUGUUGCUCCCCCACAUUUGAAGGGCUGAAAACUAAAUACAGCAAUUUAAUUCUGGCUGAGAUUUGGUCAGACAGCCAAAAUGCAAACUAUGGCCUUUUGUAACAGAACCAGAGAGAGUAAGGUACAGCCACCUCUCACCGCUGUGAUGACUUAGACACUGUGUUAACAUGGGAAGGGCAGGGGCAAACGGGAAAACUAACUCCAAUCUUGUAAGUGACAGCAUCUCUCCCUAUGAUGAUGUCCCUUAUGCAUGUUUCCUCUUGAUAAAGAGGAAAACUUUCUACUGAAAUCAGUCAGCUCCAUCUGCACAUCCCUGAUGGUGUGAGGGUUGUCUCAGAAUGAAUGUGCUUGUCUACCUGCAUGUGUGGAGACAGUUGCUGUUGUUGUGCAAAUCUUGCACCAAAUGUCAGGAGUGUUCAAGCUUGUUUGCCAGAGGCCCUCAAUUUCCCACACAGGGUUGGCAAUUAGGACUGUUUGGGGAAAAUUAUGUGGGCUGAGUAUUUGGAGUGGGCUCUGUUGCUACAGCAGGUAUGAUGCAAGAACUCAAAAUGCAGACACGAGGUACCUGGUCCCUCACGGUGAUGCUGAACAUGUCCCCGAGCAGAAUCACUGCUUCCGUGAGGACAAUGCGUUUAGGGAAUAGGGAUUUUAACCAAAGGAUAUUUACGGAUGUCUCGAAACUGCCGCAAAUGGUGGGUUACUGUGGCCACUCUUCAAGCUUGUUGUAAAGUAUGGAAUGAGUGGAAGCUUGAGUUGGAGUUUUUCCAAAAUGGAUGAGGAAACAUCUAAACUGAUUAUUCAUUAUUUUGUGUCUUUCUAACUUAAAAUAUAAAUAAGCAAUGUUUGAGAGCAGUCAGAUGGACAAAAGUAAAGCAGGGCAUUUGGUCCAAUCCCUUCUCAUCUCAGACAGAAGCAUAAGAAACCUGGGCACACAGUGGCUACAAGUGGGGAGUGUCUUAAUCAAAUGUUUCCUCUCCCAAGCCACGUUGUUUUUAAGCAUCUCUGUGUUGUUGCCUGAUUAUGGUGUUAAGCUAUAAGACUAUUAUUCAGUUAAGAUCUCCUGUUAUCUGCUUCCAAGCCAACCCCCUCAUAACUAUUUGGCCAUUUACUAAGCAGUCUAUUGAGCAAUGAAACAGCAGGAAGGGAAGGGGAGGAGAGGGCAGUAAACUGGGAAGAGUUUUAGGGAAAAUCCUAAGCUGGUUGGUGUUCUUGAUGAGAUCCUAUCUCACUCCACCCAUGGAAAACUAGCUGUCACAGUUGCCACCUGGCUGGGUUGGCACCCAGUAAUCCUUCUUUUGGGUUUAGCCAGAGGCUACUACAGAUACCGAGACCAUGAAUCUUCAGUGACAACUUAGUUUAAAAAACCCUUGCUUCAGACUCUAACCUUAUCUUCUUCUGGCCCUUGGGCCCUGGAGCCCUGCAAGUAUUCCAAUACUGGAAAAUCCCAUUUGGUCCUUCUUCUUGGCUGAUAAAGAGUUCAGCUGCAGAAUAAGGAAAACAACAACAGUAGCAGCAGCAGCAGCAACAACAACAACAAUUCAGGGCAGACAGAUUGGUCCUAGUAGAGAGCAGCAAACAGGGUAGGUUGCCCUCUGGGGUGUAACCGCUGCCAUUUUAGUCAUCAAAAGAGGCCAGAGCUGCUCAGCCUUGUUUAUCCGGAGCCAGAAGCAUGUGAACACCUAUUUGGUUUAUUGCUCUGUUGCAUGAGGAAAAUAAUGUGUAGGCAAGAGCCUAGAUUCUGACAAAAGUGAAAAUUAUAGUAAGAUUCUACUUUGGAGAACAAAGGGAGGAUUACUUGCAACAGCAAGACAAGGUUGGGUUUUCUUCAGAGGCCUCUCAGCUCUCUCUCAAGGGCCUCUAACUACUUCCAAGGACCUUUGGCACUUCCAUGUGCCAUGAUUUUGCAGCCAUAGUUGGAAAUUAACUGAGCUCCUUAUCAGCAAACUAUUGAGAUCCCAGCAUCCCCGAGCAGGGACUGACUUCCUCCUACCCAGUUCUCUGCUUUUCUCAUUUUCAUCCGGGGGCAUUUUGGCACCCUUUCUUUACUCUGUGAAUGUCCAAACUAACUAGUGACUAGUGAGGAGAAGUGAAUAUUUGUCUUUUAUGGAGAAUAAAAUCUUCCUUAGGCAAUGGGGCCACACAGGCUUUUGCUACACCGAACAGGAAGUAGAAAACCAAAUCUGGUAAUGAUCUCAUGGUCCUAAAAUCACCUACAGGCCUUUACUGAGGUUUUGUGUGCUUAGAUCCUAUGGCUACCUGGACUCUUUGGUGUCCUGCCACCCUCAGAAGCCUACAGUGAAUUGACUUUGUUGAAAUUUACUCAACAUUUAAAUGAUGAUUUGUCUUGCUUCUCGUAGGGAAAGGAUGAGAAAGGGAAGCAUGAAUGUCUACUCACUUGGUUUCUUCUGAAAUGAUUUUGAUUCCUUGAAAAUAUUAACUGAAUCCAUUAAGGAAAUAGUACUGCCAAAGCCCCAAUAUACAAGUCUCCCUGGUACCUGGAGUUAGUGUAUGUGACAUACACCCUGUGUGUGUGUGUGUGUGUGUGUGUGUGUGUGUGUGUGUGUGUGUGUGUGCGC
ensembl:lncRNA